ensembl:lncRNA
ACCAUAAGUCACUCUGUUUCCCUUUUAUUGUUUCGGAUACUUCACAUGACAUAUUACAUCAAUAUCUAAAUGAGUACAAAUGAGUAGACCAGCAGUAAGCAGACUCGAUAAACAAUUAAAAAGUAGUGCCAUAAAACACAAACUACGUACAACCUUUGAGAGUCUUUCAUGUUAUUACCAGGUGCAUUUGUAAAAACAGUUAUAUUUAUGCUCAUGUUAUGUCAGCAGAAUAAACACAGAGCUUCUCAGUGUACUUCAAUCCCAAAUAGUUACAGAUUAUCACCAGGGUCAUACAAUAGCUUUGAGAAAAGAACAAAAGUGAUAGUUAAAAUAUCAUAACAUUAUAAAUAUAUGAAAUAAAUAACAGGUUAAUAAGUUACAAUAAGGAUAAUAAAUUACGUUCCUUACAAUCCAUCAAGUUCGUAAAUAACUCACUAUGUGUACAACAUGUAAAUGUGGGUUCUUCUUAGUCUCUUGUUCCAGUCCACUUAAUAAUUCCACAGAACUGCUGUAACAACUGCAACAACUAAAUAGAAACUUGUCCUGUUGAUGACUGCAGAGGAAGCUGUGGUGGUGGUUGUUGUUGCAAAUGUAGACGGAGCUGCUGUUGUCAUUGCGGCUGCUGAUAUUGUUGUUGGGUUGGCUGUUGUUGCCGGUGCGGUUGGUGUUGUUGCAGCAGCAAUUGUCAUUGUUGCGGAUGAUGUUGUUGUAGGUGCUGUGGUUAUUUGUGGGGUGUUCGUGGUUGUUGACGGUGCUACUGUAGUUGUUGCAGCUGGCACAGUAGUUGUUGCGGCUGCUACUGUAGUUGCUGCGGGUGCAGCUGUAGUUGUUAGAGCUGCUGUAGUUGUGGCUGGGGCUCUUGUUGUGGUUGCUGCUGCUGCUGUUGGGUUGGCUGUGGUUGUUGCAGCUACCACUGUAGUCAUUGAUGGUGCAGAUGUAGUUGAUAGAGCUGCUGUAGUUGUGGCUGGGGCUCUUGUUGUGGUUGCUGCUGCUGCUGUUGUUGGGUUGGCUGUGGUUGUUGCAGCUGCCACUGUAGUCAUUGAUGGUGCAGGUGUAGUUGUUAGAGCUGCUGUAGUUGUGGCUGGGGCAUUUGUGGUGGUUGCUGCAGCUACUGUAGUUAUUGCAGCUGGUACUGUAGUUGUUGCGGCUACCCCUGUAGUUGUUGUGGCUGAUACUGUAGUUGUUGCGGAUGCUGCUGUAGUUGUUUCAGCUGGUACUGUAGUUGUUGCUGCUGCUGCAGUUGUUGGUAGGUUAGCUGUAGUUGUCGCGGAUGCUACUUUAGUUGUUCCAGUUGGUACUGUAGUUGUUGUGGCUGCCACUGUUGUUGCAGUUGCAGCUGUAGUUGUUAGAGCUGCUGUGGUGGUUGCUGCUGCUGGGUUGGCUGUGGUUGUUUCCGCUGCUACUGUAGUUGUUGCGGCUGGUACUGUAGUUGUUGUGGCUACCACUGUAGUUGUUGCGGCUGCUACUAUAGUUGUUGCAGGUGCAGCUGUAGUUGUAAGAGCUGCUGUAGUUGUGGCUGGGGCAAUUGUUGUGGUCGCUGCUGCUGUUGUUGGGUUUGCUGUAGUUGUUGCGGCUGCUACUGUGGUUGUUGCAGCUGGUACUGUAGUGGUUGCAGCUGGUGGUGUAGUUGUUAGAGCUGCUGUAGUUGUGGCUGGGGCAUUUGUGGUGGUUGCUGCUGCUGCUGUUGUUGUUGGGUUUGCUGUAACUGUUGCGGCUGCUACUGUGGUUGUUGCGUCUGGUACUGUAGUCGUCGCGGCUGCUCCUGUAGUUACUGCAGAUGCUGCUGUAGUUGUUGCAGCUGGUACUGUAGUUGUUGCUGGUGCUGCAGUUGUUGCAGGUGCAGCUGUAGUUGUUGCGGCUGCAACUGAAGUCGUCGCGGCUGCUCCUGUAGUUAUUUCAGCUGGUACUGUAGUUGCUGCUGCUGCAGUUGUUGCGGAUGCUGCUGUAGUUGUUGCUGCUGCUGCAGUUGUUGCGGAUGCUGCUAUAGUUGUUGCAGCUGGUACUGCAGUUGUUGCAGAUGCUGAUGUAGAUGUUGCAGCUGGUACUGUAGUUGUUAAAGGUGCAGCUGUAGUUGUUGCGGCUGCAACUGAAGUCGUCACGGCUGCUCCAGUAGUUGUUGCGGAUGCUGCUGUAGUUGUUUCAGCUGGUACUGUAGUUGUUGCUGCUGCUGCAGUUGUUGGUAGGUUAGCUGUAGUUGUCGCGGAUGCUACUUUAGUUGUUCCAGCUGGUACUGUAGUUGUUGUGGCUGCCACUGUUGUUGCAGUUGCAGCUGUAGUUGUUAGAGCUGCUGUGGUGGUUGCUGCUGCUGGGUUGGCUGUGGUUGUUUCCGCUGCUACUGUAGUUGUUGCGGCUGGUACUGUAGUUGUUGUGGCUACCACUGUAGUUGUUGCGGCUGCUACUAUAGUUGUUGCAGGUGCAGCUGUAGUUGUUAGAGCUGCUGUAGUUGUGGCUGUGGCAUCUGUGGUGGCUGCUUCUCCUGCAAUUGGUGUGGUUGCUGCUGUUGUUGUUGGGGUUGCUGUAGUUGUUGCGGCUACCACUGCUGUUGUUGUGGCUGCUACUGUAGUUGUAUCGGCUGCUACUGUAGAUGCUGCGGAUGCAGCUGUAGUUGUAAGAGCUGCUGUAGUUGUUGGCUGGGGCAAAUGGUUGUGAUUGCUGCUGCUGUUGUUGUUGGGUUUGCUGUAGUUGUUGCGGCUGCUACUGUGGUUGUUGCGGCUGGUACUGUAGUGGUUGCAGCUGGUACUGUAGUUGUUGUGGCUGCCACUGUAGUUGUUACAGUUGGUACUGUAGUCGGUGCUGGUGCAGGUUUAGUUGUUAGAGCUGUUGUAGUUGUGGCUGGGUGCAUCUGUGGUGGUCGCUGCCACUGAAGUUGUUGUUGGGUUGACUGCAGUUGUUGUGGCUACCACGGUAGUUGUUGCGGAUGCUGAUGUAGUUGUUUCAGCUGGUACUGUAGUUGCUGCUGCUGCAGUUAUUGCGGAUGCUGCUGUAGUUGUUGCAGCUGGUACUGUAGUUGUUGCUGCAGUUGUUGCAGAUGCUGCAGUAGUUGUUUUAGCUGGUACUGUAGUUGUUGCUGCUGCUGCAGUUGUUGCAGGUGCAGCUGUAGUUGUUGGGGCUGCAACUGAAGUCGUCGCGGCUGCUCCUGUAGUUGUUGCGGAUGCUGCUGUAGUUGUUUCAGCUGGUCGUGUAGUUGUUGCUGCUGCUGCAGUUGUUGCGGAUGCUGCUGUAGUUGUUGGAGCUGGUACUGCAGUUGUUGCAGAUGCUGCUGUAGUUGUUGCAGCUGGUACUGUAGUUGUUUCUGCUGCUGCAGUUGUUGCAGGUGCAGCUGUAGUUGUUGCGGCUGCAACUGAAGUCGUCGCGGCUGCCGCUGCAGUUGUUGCGGAUGCUGCUGUAGUUGUUGCUGCUGCUGCAGUUGUUGCAGGUUCAGCUGUAGUUGUUGCUGCUGCUGCAGUUGUUGAAGGUGGAGCUGUAGUUGUUGCUGCUGCUGCAGUUGUUGCGGAUGCUGCUGUAGUUGUUGCGGAUGCUGCUGUAGUUGUUGCAGCUGGUACUGCAGUUGUUGCGGAUGCUGCUGUAGUUGUUGCAGCUGGUACUGUAGUUGUUGCUGCUGCUGCAGUUGUUGCAGGUGCAGCUGUAGUUUCAGCUGGUCGUGUAGUUGUUGCUGCUGCUGCAGUUGUUGCGGAUGCUGCUGUAGUUGUUGGAGCUGGUACUGCAGUUGUUGCAGAUGCUGCUGUAGUUUGUUGCAGCUGGUACUGUAGUUGUUUCUGCUGCUGCAGUUGUUGCAGGUGCAGCUGUAGUUGUUGCGGCUGCAAACUGAAGUCGUCGCGGCUGCUGCUGUAGUUGUUGCGGAUGCUGCUGUAGUUG